UACGGAGGGGGCUAGCGUUGUUCGGAAUUACUGGGCGUAAAGCGCACGUAGGCGGCUUUGUAAGUUAGAGGUGAAAGCCCGGGGCUCAACUCCGGAAUUGCCUUUAAGACUGCAUCGCUAGAAUUGUGGAGAGGUAAGUGGAAUUCCGAGUGUAGAGGUGAAAUUCGUAGAUAUCAAGCAGAACACCUGCGGCGAAGGCGGCCUUCUGGACGAUGACUGACGCUGAGACGCGAAAGCGUGGGGAGCAAACAGG
rnacentral:rRNA from 1 species